rnacentral:tRNA from 1 species
GGGAAUGUGGCUUAGUGGUAGAGUGCUUGCCUAGCAUGCAUGAUGCCCUAGAUUCGAUUCCUCAAUACCA